rnacentral:tRNA from 1 species
GGGGCCGUAGCUCAAUUGGUAGAGCGCCAGGGCGGACUGCUGAACGCGGUUGCCCGAGCGAUUGAAUGGCGUCAGGACGCACUGAGACGUCAGCUUGAGCCCAAAACGAGGCACAGUGACGAUCAGAAAGCUGAGCGAUUGCCGUGAGAGAUGCGGGUUCGACUCCAGCCGGCUCCA